UAUCUCUGUAGAGUCUGCAUAUCAAUAAGCGGAGGAAAAGAAACUAACUAGGAUUCCCUCAGUAACGGCGAGUGAAGCGGGAAGAGCUCAAAUUUGAAAUCUUCAAGGUUUUACCUUGACGAAUUGUAGUUUAAAGAAGUGUUUUCUGUUGAAGUUUCGGUAAAAGUUCUUUGGAAUAGGACAUCAUAGAGGGUGAGAAUCCCGUAUUUGACCGUUAUUUUCAGCUGUGUGAUUCACUUUCAAAGAGUCGGAUUGUUUGGGAAUGCAGUCCAAAAUGGGUGGUAAAUUUCAUCUAAAGCUAAAUAUUGGCGAGAGACCGAUAGCGAACAAGUACCGUGAGGGAAAGAUGAAAAGAACUUUGAAAAGAGAGUUAAACAGUACGUGAAAUUGUCAAAAGGGAAGCGUUUGACACCAGUGUUGUUUUCUCGAAAAUCAAUUAAAAAGAGUUGGAUUUUGUAUUGUUAAGACCUUAUCAGCUUACUGUACUCUUUUCUUGCUUUUUUUAAUGCACUUUUCGUUUAACAAGUCAACAUCAAUUUCUUUUGUUGUAAAAGAGUCAUUGGAAGGUGGCCUUCACUUCGGUGAAAGUGUUUAUAGCCUUUGGCUUCUGCAAUCGGAGAGAUUGAGGUCUGCAGCGUAGAUCCUUCGGGGCUAGAUACGUAGAUGCUAAGUUAUAGUUUUUUAUAGACAACUUGUUGACUAUAAUUAAUCAUGUAGCUUACUCGUUUGCGCUAUUUUACCUACGCUUAGGAUGUUGAUCUGUAGUGCGUGCGC
rnacentral:rRNA from 1 species